rnacentral:pre_miRNA from 1 species
AGGAGGAACAACCACGGUGGCGGCGGCCAGGUCUGGAGCCCUGGAUUCAGCCCCCGCAGGAACUCCGGAGCUCUCUGUCUGCAGGGCCUGGAGGCUCCAGGGCGGG